rnacentral:rRNA from 1 species
GUACACACCGCCCGUCACACCAUGGGAGUUGUCUGCACCAGAAGUAGCUAGCCUAACCGCAAGGGGGGCGGUUACCACGGUGUGGUCAAUGACUGGGGUGAAGUCGUAACAAGGUAGCCGUAGGUGAACCUGCAGAAGGAUCA